GCUUAGAUAAAGUGCUAUUGCAUUGUCUUUUUUAUCAUUUAUGUGUUGAUUAUGCAAAUCUAUUGUAUUUACUGGUCCGCUAAAGCAGAGCAAAACACUGAGAUAGAUUUGAUCAAAUCAAACUGCACAAAUGGACCUUAGAUUAUCUGGCACAGUACUCUAAAAUCCUGGACUCUUUGUUUAUGUGACAUCAUUAUUGGGCAUUCAGAAUGGCUGUACUUGAGGAAAACACGAGGAGCGUCUCUGUUCCACAGCAGGACAAUAUCUUAAACAAAGUUCCAGGAUAUUACUAUCUGGCAAUUCCACCUUCUGAAUAGUUCCAUUUGUGUAUUCUGUUUGCUGUCCGUUUUUUACUUCAACAGAGAAGUUUUAUUCAUCUUCCGCAGAUCAGCUGGGACACGGACUUCCAUUUGAAAGGAUCCCAUUGUUGUCUUAUUUCAGACUGACUGCUACUGCUAUUUACCGAUACAUUGUAAUCUAGUUAGGGUGUACUUAAAAUAGAAACUAUAUAUAGUAAAUAAAUGUUUGUAUUUUAUUCAUAUAUCUUUCUUUGGUUUAUCCCAUGUAAGCCUUGAUGGGGUGCAGUGGUUAUCAAUAAAUUUCAGUUUUUGAAGCUUA